AAGUGGCGUGUCCCUUUGGGGAAGCGGGCCACGAGAUGUCUCAGAAAUAUUCUUAAAAGGGCUACUAACAGCCAGGUGUGGCAGCACAGGACUUGAAUCCCGGUACACGAGGCACGGCCAACUGUUCUCUGUGGGUUCUGAGUUCAAGGCUGGCUGGGUCUACAUAUGGAGUUCCAGACCAGUCAGGGAUACACGGCCUCGUACAGCUGAACGUGGACAGGGUAGACGCCGGAGUGGUGAGGGGACACUGCGUAGCCCAUGUCGGUAGGAAUGCCGUGCUCCUAAGACCAAGCAAACUCUCAUUAGAACAUGGGAAGAGAGAAGCAAAUCUGUAGACUAUUGAAAUUUCUAAGCCCGCAGUGGCAGUCUACAAUCUGUUAGAUAUUCUGUUGUCUACAGAGAAAACAGCCGGAAACUGCAGCAACGUACUUUGGGAAACUUCUAGAUGCUUUUCUGCUCUCUGUUUUGGUUGGAAUGUCCCAUUUUCUCAGAAUAUAGAAGUUCAUGCUUUGGUUAACUACCUCACAACACUGAGAUUCAAAUUUGCAAUUUGCAUGAAUUUGAGGGUACAGUGAUACAUCCCACAACCCCAGCACUCUGAAGAUUCACGAUGACUGCAAGUUCAAAAUCAACCUGUCUUUAAAAAUUAUAUUAAAUUAAAUUUUAUAUUGAUUUCAUUUUA